ensembl:lncRNA
CCCGGCCCUCACCCACGCGGAAGCCGGAGCCAGUGAGUGUGUCGGUGCUGUGGCCAUUCUCUCCGAUCAGCGUCAUGUUGGUGCCGUGGUGACAGCUGUCCCGACACUGGCCUUUGAGACAGGUCCGCUUGCAGUACACCGGCGCAAAGACCACCUUGAAGCGCUCGCGGGCUAGCGCCCCGCCCCCGCCGGCGCCCCGCUCGCCGGCCGGCCCCCCCUCGGCCCCGCCGCCCGGGCCCAGCAGAGGCAGCAGGAGCAGAAGCAGCAGCCCCACCGCCUCCGCCCGGCGCAUCGCAGGGGCCAGGCCGCCGGCGACCCCUCGGGGCCCGGGCAUCCGGGGCCGCGCGACCCCGGGAGGCGCGCCGGGCGGGGGCUAAGGGCCCGGCGCCCGCGGAGGUCGAGGGCCGGGAGCGCGGGCCAGGCGCGGAGAGGGCAGCGAGGCAGCGGAGCGAGAGGGGAGCGGGCAGGGAGGGGACGGCAGGCGCGCGCCGGGGCCCAGUGCGAGGCCGGAGAUGGAGGUGGACCGCGGGGAGCCCAGAAACUUCCCGGCCCGGAGAAGCUCAACCAGGCCCCGAACUGAGGCCAGGCCGAGGAGGCUGGAGCCAGUGGAGGCGGAGAGGAGGAGCGAGCGAGGGGAAGGCCGGGCGGCCAGCCCGCGGCGCGCCCCCCUGCCCGGCUGCUCUCCGGUGGCCGCCGGGAAGCAGGAGCGCGCGGGGAGGACGCAGGGAGAAUCAUCUGAACCUUCCCCUGGCUAGAGCAGGCAGCGGCUCACCUUGGAACACAGCUCAUAUAAUAAUCCUGGCUUGGAGGCUCAAUUUCUCUAAGCCUCAGUUUUCUCUCUUGUGAAAUGGGGUCUACUCAUUCACCACACACUGGGAACACACUCCAUGCUG